ensembl:lncRNA
AGUACAGGAAGGGAAAGGCUCCAAAACUGUAAAGAUCUUCUUCAGCAGAAGAGUGACAGAGGAGCAGCUUAGGUACCCCCCUCCCAUGACAGCUAUGGAAAGAGACUAAACUUGCCUGAGGGCCCUGCUGAUCUCCCUGCAUGUCACAGCUGUCACCACAGUCACAGUCAUCCUGAUCCCGCAGGGAAAUGCUGGGUGCAGAAGCAACAAACAACAAGUGGGAUGCAGUCUGCUAGCAACAUAAGCCUGUGUAUUUCCUUCCCUCCACAACAGAUUCCUCCAAGCGUCUCCUCUGCCCUCCUGCUCUAAUCUGACAAGUGCUGAAGUGCUGUAGAGAUGGAUUCAUGUACAGAAGUGUGCUGGGUGUCCUGGCAGAUGGGCUUCUCCAGUGAUGCUGGAGGUCUUGGGGGCAAAUGUGACAUCGUCACUGUGGGGAAGAGCUGAGCUGUAGUGAGCAGCUGAAGAAGCAGACACAUACCAAUGCCUACUGUACAGGUGCGCCAGUGCAGUGGACUUUAAUGUUUUUUUCUUUAUAACCAACAUGUUAUAUCCUGAAAAAAAAUCACUCAAAAAAACUAGAGAACAUUCAAAAUUUGGGAAGAUGAAGGUUGUCAACAUAGUUGUCACUACAAACUUAAAACAGGUCUUUCAGACCCUGAUACUUCUACCAAAAGAUGGUGAUUUCAUUUCACUCUUGUGAGCUACAAUGCUCAGUUUCUUCUCCUCCUUCUGUUGAAAUUCUUGUCCUCAGUGCUGUGAGUGUGAUUUUCCCCAGACUAUGUUGUGAACAGUGCUAUGUAGCUGAGAAUUUGCUCAUUUAAUAUAGUGUUACCAUGCUCCUUAGAUCUGUUGUAGUUUCCAUGGAAAUAAACAGGAGGUAUUACUUUCGGAGCAACCUACAGUAUAUAUCCAUAUAUACGCUAUAUAUGUUGCACACAAUUAUAUACAUGCAUAUCUAUGGAAAAAGGAGGCAAGAAUACAGAUUUUUGCCUUCCACAGCGUCAGCAGUGUUUAGGAUAGUUACUGUGCUGCCUAUCUAUUCAAACAUAUUACAUGUCUUUCAUGUAAGCUGGCUUGCCAUCAGCACUGCUCCCUUCAGCUGGCUCAAGUACUGUACAUACUGCUAUUGUUUGUAGUUUUAAAACAAAAGCUAUAUAUUUUUAUGACUUUCCUGAACACUCAGCUCCAGGGUUCACCGGAAGAACUCUGCUUAUUCUCUUUUUUUUCUUUUCUUCCUUCCUUUCUUCUCUAAAAUAACCUUCAAGACCUUUGGCUACAAAAACAUGAGCUAUACAAAAGACCUCAAAUAACAGAAAGCAAUUAAAGUUCUUAUUAUCUUUGUAAGAUCUCUGGGUUUGAGUCACCCGAUUCAUCAUUUUUCAAUGCUUCCAAUGAGCAAAAAUAGAAGCGUGUUAUUUUAUUGGCAGUUCCUGUUUAGAGAACUUUGUUUACUAACUACCAAUUACUUGAUCAUUUCUUCUGUAUCCUUCCUUAAUGAGAAUAAAGGUCUCAUUAU